UACCAGCACCCCGAGUGGUCGGGACGAUUAUUGGGCCUAAAGCAUCCGUAGCCGGUUUUACAAGUCCUCCGGUAAAUCCAGCUGCUUAACAGAUGGGCUGCGGAGGAUACUAUAAGACUAGGAGGCAGGAGAGGCAAGCGGUACUCAGUGGGUAGGGGUAAAAUCCGUUGAUCCAUUGAAGACCACCAGUGGCGAAGGCGGCUUGCCAGAAUGCGCUCGACGGUGAGGGAUGAAAGCUGGGGGAGCAAACCGG
rnacentral:rRNA from 1 species